rnacentral:rRNA from 1 species
UUAAGCGACUAAGCGUACACGGUGGAUGCCCUGGCAGUCAGAGGCGAUGAAGGACGUGCUAAUCUGCGAUAAGCGUCGGUGAGGUGAUAUGAACCGUUAUAACCGGCGAUUUCCGAAUGGGGAAACCCAGUGUGUUUCGACACACUAUCAUUAACUGAAUCCAUAGGUUAAUGAGGCGAACCGGGGGAACUGAAACAUCUAAGUACCCCGAGGAAAAGAAAUCAACCGAGAUUCCCCCAGUAGCGGCGAGCGAACGGGGAGGAGCCCAGAGCCUGAAUCAGUGUGUGUGUUAGUGGAAGCGUCUGGAAAGGCGUGCGAUACAGGGUGACAGCCCCGUACACAAAAAUGCACAUAUUGUGAGCUCGAUGAGUAGGGCGGGACACGUGGUAUCCUGUCUGAAUAUGGGGGGACCAUCCUCCAAGGCUAAAUACUCCUGACUGACCGAUAGUGAACCAGUACCGUGAGGGAAAGGCGAAAAGAACCCCGGCGAGGGGAGUGAAAAAGAACCUGAAACCGUGUACGUACAAGCAGUGGGAGCCUCUUAAUGGGGUGACUGCGUACCUUUUGUAUAAUGGGUCAGCGACUUAUAUUCUGUAGCAAGGUUAACCGAAUAGGGGAGCCGAAGGGAAACCGAGUCUUAACUGGGCGUUAAGUUGCAGGGUAUAGACCCGAAACCCGGUGAUCUAGCCAUGGGCAGGUUGAAGGUUGGGUAACACUAACUGGAGGACCGAACCGACUAAUGUUGAAAAAUUAGCGGAUGACUUGUGGCUGGGGGUGAAAGGCCAAUCAAACCGGGAGAUAGCUGGUUCUCCCCGAAAGCUAUUUAGGUAGCGCCUCGUGAAUUCAUCUCCGGGGGUAGAGCACUGUUUCGGCAAGGGGGUCAUCCCGACUUACCAACCCGAUGCAAACUGCGAAUACCGGAGAAUGUUAUCACGGGAGACACACGGCGGGUGCUAACGUCCGUCGUGAAGAGGGAAACAACCCAGACCGCCAGCUAAGGUCCCAAAGUCAUGGUUAAGUGGGAAACGAUGUGGGAAGGCCCAGACAGCCAGGAUGUUGGCUUAGAAGCAGCCAUCAUUUAAAGAAAGCGUAAUAGCUCACUGGUCGAGUCGGCCUGCGCGGAAGAUGUAACGGGGCUAAACCAUGCACCGAAGCUGCGGCAGCGACACUAUGUGUUGUUGGGUAGGGGAGCGUUCUGUAAGCCUGUGAAGGUGGCCUGUGAGGGUUGCUGGAGGUAUCAGAAGUGCGAAUGCUGACAUAAGUAACGAUAAAGCGGGUGAAAAGCCCGCUCGCCGGAAGACCAAGGGUUCCUGUCCAACGUUAAUCGGGGCAGGGUGAGUCGACCCCUAAGGCGAGGCCGAAAGGCGUAGUCGAUGGGAAACAGGUUAAUAUUCCUGUACUUGGUGUUACUGCGAAGGGGGGACGGAGAAGGCUAUGUUGGCCGGGCGACGGUUGUCCCGGUUUAAGCGUGUAGGCUGGUUUUCCAGGCAAAUCCGGAAAACCAAGGCUGAGGCGUGAUGACGAGGCACUACGGUGCUGAAGCGACAAAUGCCCUGCUUCCAGGAAAAGCCUCUAAGCAUCAGGUAACAUCAAAUCGUACCCCAAACCGACACAGGUGGUCAGGUAGAGAAUACCAAGGCGCUUGAGAGAACUCGGGUGAAGGAACUAGGCAAAAUGGUGCCGUAACUUCGGGAGAAGGCACGCUGAUAUGUAGGUGAAGCGACUUGCUCGUGGAGCUGAAAUCAGUCGAAGAUACCAGCUGGCUGCAACUGUUUAUUAAAAACACAGCACUGUGCAAACACGAAAGUGGACGUAUACGGUGUGACGCCUGCCCGGUGCCGGAAGGUUAAUUGAUGGGGUUAGCGGCAACGCGAAGCUCUUGAUCGAAGCCCCGGUAAACGGCGGCCGUAACUAUAACGGUCCUAAGGUAGCGAAAUUCCUUGUCGGGUAAGUUCCGACCUGCACGAAUGGCGUAAUGAUGGCCAGGCUGUCUCCACCCGAGACUCAGUGAAAUUGAACUCGCUGUGAAGAUGCAGUGUACCCGCGGCAAGACGGAAAGACCCCGUGAACCUUUACUAUAGCUUGACACUGAACAUUGAGCCUUGAUGUGUAGGAUAGGUGGGAGGCUUUGAAGUGUGGACGCCAGUCUGCAUGGAGCCGACCUUGAAAUACCACCCUUUAAUGUUUGAUGUUCUAACGU